GAUGAACGCUAGCUAUAGGCUUAACACAUGCAAGUCGAGGGGAAACGGCAUUAUGUGCUUGCACAUUUUGGACGUCGACCGGCGCACGGGUGAGUAUCGCGUAUCCAACCUGCCCUUUACUUGGGGAUACCCCGUUGAAAGACGGCCUAAUACCCGAUGUAAUUCAUUGAUGGCAUCAGAUAUGAAUAAAAGAUUUAUCGGUAAAGGAUGGGGAUGCGUCUGAUUAGCUUGUUGGUGAGGUAAUGGCUCACCAAGGCGACGAUCAGUAGGGGUUCUGAGAGGAAGGUCCCCCACAUUGGAACUGAGACACGGUCCAAACUCCUACGGGAGGCAGCAGUGAGGAAUAUUGGUCAAUGGGCGCAAGCCUGAACCAGCCAAGUAGCGUGCAGGAAGACGGCCCUAUGGGUUGUAAACUGCUUUUAUACGAGAAUAAUUUGAUGCACGUGUGCGUUAUUGCAUGUAUCGUAUGAAUAAGGACCGGCUAAUUCCGUGCCAGCAGCCGCGGUAAUACGGAAGGUCCAGGCGUUAUCCGGAUUUAUUGGGUUUAAAGGGAGUGUAGGCGGUUUGUUAAGCGUGUUGUGAAAUUUAGAUGCUCAACAUUUAACUUGCAGCGCGAACUGGCGAACUUGAGUGCACACAACGUAUGCGGAAUUCAUGGUGUAGCGGUGAAAUGCUUAGAUAUCAUGAAGAACUCCGAUUGCGAAGGCAGCUGACGGGAGCGCAACUGACGCUGAAGCUCGAAGGUGCGGGUAUCGAACAGG
rnacentral:rRNA from 1 species